rfam:Rattus norvegicus chromosome 5, whole genome shotgun sequence.
GGGGAUUUAGCUCAGUGGUAGAGCGCUUGCCUAGCUAAGCGCAAGGCCCUGGGUUCGGUCCCCAGCUCCG